GUCGAGGAAAGUCCGGACUUCACAGAGCAGGGUGAUUGCUAACGGCAAUCCGAGGUGACUCGCGGGAAAGUGCCACAGAAAACAGACCGCCAUCCUCGUGGUGGCAAGGGUGAAACGGUGCGGUAAGAGCGCACCAGCAUUCCGGGUGACCGGGGUGGCUAGGCAAACCCCACCCGAAGCAAGGCCAAGAAGGCCGCACCGAAAGUGCGGCCGCGCAGGCGCUUGAGGGUUGCUCGCCCGAGCCUGCGGGUAGGCCGCUCGAGGCACCCGGUAACGGUGUGUCCAGAUGGAUGGUCGCCGCCGUGCC
rnacentral:ncRNA from 16 species